CGGAGGGGCUAGCGUUGUUCGGAAUUACUGGGGCGUAAAGCGCACGUAGGCGGACUGGAAAGUUGGGGUGAAUCCCGGGGCUCAACCUCGGAACUGCCUUCAAACUAUCAGUCUGGAGUUCGAGAGAGGUGAGUGGAAUUCCGAGUGUAGAGGUGAAAUUCGUAGAUAUUCGGAGGAACACCAGUGGCGAAGGCGGCUCACUGGCUCGAUACUGACGCUGAGGUGCGAAAGCGUGGGGAGCAAACAGGAUU
rnacentral:rRNA from 1 species